AAAAAAGGUAAGCUACUAAGAGCGAAUGGUGGAUGCCUUGACUGGUAAAGGCGAUGAAGGACGUACUAGACUGCGAUAAGCUACGGGGAGCUGUCAAGAAGCUUUGAUCCGUAGAUUUCCGAAUGGGGCAACCCAAUGUAUAGAGAUAUACAUUACCUAUAUAGGAGCGAACGAGGGGAAUUGAAACAUCUUAGUACCCUCAGGAAAAGAAAUCAAUAGAGAUUGCGUCAGUAGCGGCGAGCGAAAGCGCAAGAGGGCAAACCCAGUGCUUGCACUGGGGGUUGUAGGACUGCAAUGUGCAAGAGGUGAGUUUAGCAGAACAUUCUGGAAAGUAUAGCCAUAGAGGGUGAUAGUCCCGUAUGCGAAAAACAAACCUUAGCUAGCAGUAUCCUGAGUAGGGCGGGACACGAGAAAUCCUGUCUGAAGCUGGGUCGACCACGAUCCAACCCUAAAUACUAAUACCAGAUCGAUAGUGCACAAGUACCGUGAGGGAAAGGUGAAAAGAACUGAGGUGAUCAGAGUGAAAUAGAACCUGAAACCAUUUGCUUACAAUCAUUCAGAGCCCUAUGUAGCAAUACAGGGUGAUGGACUGCCUUUUGCAUAAUGAGCCUGCGAGUUGUGGUGUCUGGCAAGGUUAAGCAAACGCGAAGCCGUAGCGAAAGCGAGUCUGAAUAGGGCGCUUAGUCAGAUGCUGCAGACCCGAAACGAAGUGAUCUAUCCAUGAGCAAGUUGAAGCUAGUGUAAGAACUAGUGGAGGACUGAACCCAUAGGCGUUGAAAAGCCCCGGGAUGACUUGUGGAUAGGGGUGAAAGGCCAAUCAAACUUCGUGAUAGCUGGUUCUCUCCGAAAUAUAUUUAGGUAUAGCGUUGUGUCGUAAUAUAAGGGGGUAGAGCACUGAAUGGGCUAGGGCAUACACCAAUGUACCAAACCCUAUCAAACUCCGAAUACCUUAUAUGUAAUCACAGCAGUCAGGCGGCGAGUGAUAAAAUCCGUCGUCAAGAGGGAAACAACCCAGACUACCAGCUAAGGUCCCUAAAUCUUACUUAAGUGGAAAACGAUGUGAAGUUACUUAAACAACCAGGAGGUUGGCUUAGAAGCAGCCAUCCUUUAAAGAAAGCGUAAUAGCUCACUGGUCUAGUGAUUUUGCGCGGAAAAUAUAACGGGGCUAAAGUAAGUACCGAAGCUGUAGACUUGCGCACAACUUAGAUUAUUUAAGUUUAGAAUAUGAGAAACUAAGUUAUAUGUUUAGUUAUAUUUUUACUGAUUUUUAUAGAGUAAAGAUAGAAAUAAAACUUAGUAAAAUCAGUAAAAAUAUUCUUAGACUAAAGUUAAGUAGUUUAAGUUGUGUGCAAGUGGUAGGAGAGCGUUCUAUUUGCGUCGAAGGUAUACCGGUAAGGAGUGCUGGAGCGAAUAGAAGUGAGCAUGCAGGCAUGAGUAGCGAUAAUUAAUGUGAGAAUCAUUAACGCCGUAAACCCAAGGUUUCCUACGCGAUGCUCGUCAUCGUAGGGUUAGUCGGGUCCUAAGUCGAGUCCGAAAGGGGUAGACGAUGGCAAAUUGGUUAAUAUUCCAAUACCAACAUUAGUGUGCGAUGGAAGGACGCUUAGGGCUAAGGGGGCUAGCGGAUGGAAGUGCU
rnacentral:rRNA from 1 species